rnacentral:rRNA from 1 species
GAUGAACGCUGGCGGCGUGCCUAAUACAUGCAAGUCGAGCGAACGGACGAGAAGCUUGCUUCUCUGAUGUUAGCGGCGGACGGGUGAGUAACACGUGGAUAACCUACCUAUAAGACUGGGAUAACUUCGGGAAACCGGAGCUAAUACCGGAUAAUAUUUUGAACCGCAUGGUUCAAAAGUGAAAGACGGUCUUGCUGUCACUUAUAGAUGGAUCCGCGCUGCAUUAGCUAGUUGGUAAGGUAACGGCUUACCAAGGCAACGAUGCAUAGCCGACCUGAGAGGGUGAUCGGCCACACUGGAACUGAGACACGGUCCAGACUCCUACGGGAGGCAGCAGUAGGGAAUCUUCCGCAAUGGGCGAAAGCCUGACGGAGCAACGCCGCAUGAGUGAUGAAGGUCUUCGGAUCGUAAAACUCUGUUAUUAGGGAAGAACAUAUGUGUAAGUAACUGUGCACAUCUUGACGGUACCUAAUCAGAAAGCCACGGCUAACUACGUGCCAGCAGCCGCGGUAAUACGUAGGUGGCAAGCGUUAUCCGGAAUUAUUGGGCGUAAAGCGCGCGUAGGCGGUUUUUUAAGUCUGAUGUGAAAGCCCACGGCUCAACCGUGGAGGGUCAUUGGAAACUGGAAAACUUGAGUGCAGAAGAGGAAAGUGGAAUUCCAUGUGUAGCGGUGAAAUGCGCAGAGAUAUGGAGGAACACCAGUGGCGAAGGCGACUUUCUGGUCUGUAACUGACGCUGAUGUGCGAAAGCGUGGGGAUCAAACAGGAUUAGAUACCCUGGUAGUCCACGCCGUAAACGAUGAGUGCUAAGUGUUAGGGGGUUUCCGCCCCUUAGUGCUGCAGCUAACGCAUUAAGCACUCCGCCUGGGGAGUACGACCGCAAGGUUGAAACUCAAAGGAAUUGACGGGGACCCGCACAAGCGGUGGAGCAUGUGGUUUAAUUCGAAGCAACGCGAAGAACCUUACCAAAUCUUGACAUCCUUUGACAACUCUAGAGAUAGAGCCUUCCCCUUCGGGGGACAAAGUGACAGGUGGUGCAUGGUUGUCGUCAGCUCGUGUCGUGAGAUGUUGGGUUAAGUCCCGCAACGAGCGCAACCCUUAAGCUUAGUUGCCAUCAUUAAGUUGGGCACUCUAAGUUGACUGCCGGUGACAAACCGGAGGAAGGUGGGGAUGACGUCAAAUCAUCAUGCCCCUUAUGAUUUGGGCUACACACGUGCUACAAUGGACAAUACAAAGGGCAGCGAAACCGCGAGGUCAAGCAAAUCCCAUAAAGUUGUUCUCAGUUCGGAUUGUAGUCUGCAACUCGACUACAUGAAGCUGGAAUCGCUAGUAAUCGUAGAUCAGCAUGCUACGGUGAAUACGUUCCCGGGUCU